GGAGUUAUAGCUCAGCCGGGAGAGCGCUUGCUUCACACGCAAGAGGUCAUGGGUUCGAGCCCCGUUGACUCCACCA
rnacentral:tRNA from 1 species